UGGGGAAUUUUGCGCAAUGAGCUAACGCCUGACGCAGCAACGCCGCGUGGAGGAUGAAGGUCUUUGGAUUGUAAACUCCUGUCAGCGGGGAAAAAGCGACUCGUGCUCAUACCACGGGGAGUUGAUUGUACCCGCAGAGGAAGCCCCGGCUAACUCUGUGCCAGCAGCCGCGGUAAUACAGAGGGGGCAAGCGUUAUUCGGAAUUAUUGGGCGUAAAGGGCGCGUAGGCGGCUUAGCAAGUGACGGGUGAAAUCCCUCGGCUUAACCGAGGAAUUGCCCGUCAGACUGCUUUGCUUGAGGCCGGGAGAGGCGAGUGGAAUUCCCAGUGUAGCGGUGAAAUGCGUAGAUAUUGGGAGGAACACCAGUGGCGAAGGCGGCUCGCUGGACCGGUUCUGACGCUGAGGCGCGAAAGCGUGGGGAGCAAACAGGAUUAGAUACCCUGGUAGUCCACGCCGUAAACGAUGAGUGCUUGGUGUAGCGGGUAUCGACCCCUGCUGUGCCGAAGUCAACACAUUAAGCACUCCGCCUGGGGAGUACGGUCGCAAGGCUGA
rnacentral:rRNA from 1 species